GUUGGUCUUUACCAUACCGCUGGAAAGGGUACUAGGUUGGCUCCUUUGCCCGGAUCUGAAUGCAACAACAAGCCUGCUGUGAAACUCCCAGCGAUCAUCAAAACCUCCAGGGCUACAUUCCCGUUGACCAUUCUUGAGGCUGUCAU
rnacentral:ribozyme from 1 species